UAAUGACCACGAACCUAUAAAAAUAAAUCAUACAAUUACAGUGGUGAAAUAAUCAGUUUAUAACCCCCACGAAGACGGACGUCUUCCCAUAUACUGGUCAUCUAUCGGUCCGGCCCGGACGAGACCAUAAAUAGCCCCUGAUUAUGGCACGUGUGGUGUUGUACUUUUCAAUAUUAUGCAUUUUUGGAUGUUUACACAAUGUUAGUGGUCAAAAUAUAUACCAGAUGAUGAAUUGUCCUUUGCGCAUGUUCUGUCCAUGCGCACGGCAGUGUUCACGCAACUACUUCGCUGCCGGAUACUGUUACCCGUAUCGGGCGGUGAAAUGUUGCCCAGCUCAGAUUGUGUUCAUGUGUUCACUGUUUGGAAGUCGUAGUGCAGUUGAUAUCUAGCAAAGGAUUACACAACAGAUCAAAAAGAAAAUCAUACAAGCAAAUUAUGGAUUCUUGCAAAUCAUUAUGCACUUUUAAGUGGAUAUUCAUUUAUGACCCAACAGUAGAUUUUUCUUAGUGAGAGUGUGAAUUAUAUUUUUUUGAUUUCAUAACGCAGCUCUAGUGUAUUGCAUAUUUAUAUCUUUUGAGUUUAUUUUCUAAUAAAGUGCAUUUUAAUAUCCUA